GCACAAUCUCAUAGGGAACUGUGGUCCACAGACCACUGUGGUCUAUGAACAUCAUUCAAGAAAAUGAUUUAUUGAUUCAGAAAAUGGCUAUUGAGCUCAGACAUCUGGGUAGAAAGCUGGCCUGCAUGAAAAAAGCUUUUCCCAGACUGAUUGCUAACCACUUCUGGAGCUUGUGCUGAGACACAGGAAUGAAUGAAUGAGUCCACUGAUUUUAGUGAGCUUAAGCGUGCCUAACUCUGUGCUGGAUUGUGACCUGAAGAUGCAUACAAACAUACAGCUGUGAAUGAGACAGAAGAAAGCUGACAUGUUGAUGGGGCUGAUGAGACCAAAGAGAAGGAAAUUUCUACUGUUUUGUCGUUUCCUUGCUUCUUUGGAUCCUGGAUGAAAAAGGAUGGAUAAGUGGCACAGGAAAAGCCUUAACCAGGACAGCAAGAAAUUGACCCAGUCAGAAAUGAAAAGAAAAGGGGGAGAAAAUAGAAAACUCAAGAACAGGCUGUUUUGAUGGAAGAAACGGCAGAACUGUCAAUUAGUGCAACAGUGGAGAGUACAGAGCAGCAGAAAAUUAAAGAGAAGUAAGAAGAUAAUUAAGAAGAACCCACAAUCUCCUUGGCUGGCUUGCAUCAUUUUUGUGUUCCUAGGACAUUUGCUUCUGACAUAUAAUUUGCCCCAUGAUUAAGCAAGUUAAGAAAUUCUAUAUACUUUCUUUGAGCCAAUAGUUUCAGUUCUUUACUCUGACUUUUUAAUUUAACCUCUGCCCUGGAAAUAACUUUUUAAAAAUUAUUUUGCUUUACUAUUACUGUAAACUGUUUUCAGACACAGCUUCUACAUGAAAAGCUAUAUAAAAAUGUCUGGAAUGGAACCAUAAAGUUGGUGGGUAUCUCAUUCGUCCUGUAGCUCAAUCCCUGCUCAGUGGAGGAAAUCCAGAGCAAGACCAUUCCCUGCAGAUGACUGUCUAGCCUCUGGUUAGUAGCCCCAAUGAGGCGUAGUCUUCCUCUCCCACCGCCAGGUAAUUGGUCCCAUUGUUGAAUCACUCUUCCCAGUAACCAGUUUCUCUUAAUAUUCAACAAAUUCUAUCCAGUAACUGUAACUUACACUCCUUAAAAGUAGUCCUGCCCUUUGAGGUGAAUUAUUUGUCCUCUUCUAUGUGAUAGC